GUAUUUUCUAAGAAGAGUGUUGCUUAAUGAUGGAAUAUUAGGCUAAGAGCUUUUACUGUGUUUCCCCAAAAGAUUAACCUCAUUGAAAUGAGGUCCUAAUUUUCCUAUUUGUUUCCAACAUUUAAUGCUACUAACUGAAACGUGCUUUUUUCAGGGACCCCUUUAAUGCUCAAACAUUACAUGAGCCCAUAGUGCCAGAUCAUACACCUUUGCUGUUGAUGCAGAGGGUAAUCUGAUUUUAUUGGUUUUGGAACUAAUCUUAGAGAUUGCCUUUUUAUCUUUUUGGUUAAUUUAGAUCAAUUUUCUGAGAAGAUUAAGAAUUGCAUGAAGGAAAAUGCAGAACUUGCAGAAAAAAUAACCAUUUUUGAACAGAAGGUAUAAUCAUCCCCCCCUUCUUUUUCAUUUUUAUGGUUUCACCUGGAGUGUCCACUUCCUGUUCACUGAUUUGGCCAGUUCCUCUUUCAUCCUGGUUUCCCCUUUCAUUCCAUUCUAUACGAGGCUGAAUUCAAAGCAAGUAUCACAUACGUAAAGUACUGCUUCCUUUAUUUCCAUAAUGACUUAACCAUGGCAGAUAGGUUUUGCUGUUACCAUAAUUAAGUUUUUGAAUUCUGAAUCCUCUCUUACAUAUUUGUAUAGAUCAAUGAAGCAAAGAAAUGUGCUCAAGAAACCUUGUGGCAAAAUAAGCUUCCCUCUUAUGAAGCCCACAGACUAAAGCUGAAAUCCUUUCCCAGGAGACAAUAUCCCGACAGUGGAGCAAUUCAGAUCAUUGUUUUUGUUGUUCAGCAUGGUUUGCAUUCUUCUCAACUCGUGCCUUUGAGGAAGCUGGGACUGAAAGAAUGUGAGCAGGGGAGAAACUGAAAUUGGCUGCAGGAGAGAGAGGAGCUGAACUCGCUUGUAGUUCCCUAACACCAGCAGCUCACAGAACACCUGAUGGCUUAUUUUGAAACUGUAUAAUGUUUAGACCCAACUCACACACAAAUAGACACCACUGUUCAGAGAUUUUAUGUACAAAAAAGUAUUUUCCAGGUGUUCAGGUGAAAAUAUUAAUUAAAAAAUAAAGAUUUCCUGAUCCCCA
rnacentral:lncRNA from 1 species